rnacentral:guide_RNA from 1 species
AAACAAAACACAGAAAUAAGUAAGGUAAGUCAGUGAUGAGAUAUACA